rnacentral:miRNA from 1 species
CUGAAAAACUGCAGCACUCCCGGA